rnacentral:tRNA from 1 species
GACAGCAUGACGUAGUGGUUUGAGUGCUGGAGUACAACUCUGGAGACCAGGGUUCAAUUCCCAGCUCAGCCA